rnacentral:rRNA from 1 species
AUUGAACGCUGGCGGCAUGCUUUACACAUGCCAGUCGAACGGUAACAGGCCGCAAGGUGCUGACGAGUGGCGAACGGGUGAGUAAUGCAUCGGAACGUGCCCAGUCGUGGGGGAUAACUACUCGAAAGAGUAGCUAAUACCGCAUACGAUCUAUGGAUGAAAGCGGGGGACCGUAAGGCCUCGCGCGAUUGGAGCGGCCGAUGUCAGAUUAGGUAGUUGGUGGGGUAGAGGCUCACCAAGCCAACGAUCUGUAGCUGGUCUGAGAGGACGACCAGCCACACUGGGACUGAGACACGGCCCAGACUCCUACGGGAGGCAGCAGUGGGGAAUUUUGGACAAUGGGCGCAAGCCUGAUCCAGCAAUGCCGCGUGCAGGAAGAAGGCCUUCGGGUUGUAAACUGCUUUUGUACGGAACGAAACGGCUCUGGUUAAUACCCGGGGCUAAUGACGGUACCGUAAGAAUAAGCACCGGCUAACUACGUG